AUACGGAGGAUGCAAGCGUUAUCCGGAUUUAUUGGGUUUAAAGGAUGCGUAGGCGGAUGAUUAAGCGUGAGGUGAAAUGCCACUGCUCAACAGUGGAACUGCCUCGCGAACUGGUUGUCUUGAAUGCUCCUGCCGUGGGAGGAAUGUGUGGUGUAGCGGUGAAAUGCAUAGAGAUCACACAGAACACCGAUUGCGAAGGCAUCUCACGAAGGGGUGAUUGACGCUGAGGCACGAAAGCGUGGGGAUCAAACAGGAUUAGAUACCCUGGUAGUCCACGCAGUAAACGAUGAUAACUAACCGCUGGGUCGUAGUGAUUCAGUGGCCAAGCGAAAGCGAUAAGUUAUCCACCUGGGAGUACGACCGCAAGGUUGAAACUCAAAGGAAUUGACGGGG
rnacentral:rRNA from 1 species